GGUGGCUCAGUGGUAGAGCAUUUGCCUUGCAUGCAUGACGCCCUGGGUUCAAUUCCUCAGCACCA
rnacentral:tRNA from 1 species